rnacentral:rRNA from 1 species
AUGCCUAAUACAUGCAAGUCGAACGAGAUCUUCGGAUCUAGUGGCGCACGGGUGCGUAACGCGUGGGAAUCUGCCCUUGGGUUCGGAAUAACUUCUGGAAACGGAAGCUAAUACCGGAUGAUGACGUAAGUCCAAAGAUUUAUCGCCCAAGGAUGAGCCCGCGUAGGAUUAGCUAGUUGGUGGGGUAAAGGCCCACCAAGGCGACGAUCCUUAGCUGGUCUGAGAGGAUGAUCAGCCACACUGGGACUGAGACACGGCCCAGACUCCUACGGGAGGCAGCAGUAGGGAAUAUUGGACAAUGGGCGAAAGCCUGAUCCAGCAAUGCCGCGUGAGUGAUGAAGGCCUUAGGGUUGUAAAGCUCUUUUACCCGGGAUGAUAAUGACAGUACCGGGAGAAUAAGCUCCGGCUAACUCCGUGCCAGCAGCCGCGGUAAUACGGAGGGAGCUAGCGUUGUUCGGAAUUACUGGGCGUAAAGCGCACGUAGGCGGCUAUUCAAGUCAGAGGUGAAAGCCCGGGGCUCAACCCCGGAACUGCCUUUGAAACUAGAUAGCUUGAAUCCAGGAGAGGUGAGUGGAAUUCCGAGUGUAGAGGUGAAAUUCGUAGAUAUUCGGAAGAACACCAGUGGCGAAGGCGGCUCACUGGACUGG